rnacentral:lncRNA from 1 species
GAAAAUUCUCAACACCCUGGCCAAAUCUCGAAUUGCCUGUAGUUGAGGCUCUUGUCUUGAAUUUUCGGACCAACAUGCAAACCAAAACCUAUGCUUUGCCUGAAUUCAUCGCAAAUUCCCCCAUGCUCAAGACCUUGAUAGUAACAAACUACAGCUUCUUUUCCGUUGAGCUGGGCAACUUCCAUGUCAUUGGGUCCAAUUUAAGGAGGAUCAGGUUUGAGCGUGUCACGGUUCCAUUCCUAAGCAUGGGAAAAUUAUGCUUGCAUGAUUUAGAAAAGAUAUCAUUUUUCAUGUGCGACAUUAGUCAGGCUUCGACGUCGACCAAUGCCAAAAUCUCAGAUGCAAUGCCAAACUUAAAGGAGCUCGACAUGGACUAUUGCAACGAUCUUGUGAGAUUACCAGAUGACAUCUGUGAGAUAAAGCCUUUACAGAAGCUUAGCAUCACAAAUUGCCAUAAUUUCUCUGCUCUCCCCGAACAAAUUGGGCAAUUAGCAUAUCUUGAAGUGGUUCGGCUUAAUUCUUGCACAGCCUUGUCACGGUUACCAGACUCAAUUAGAAGCCUACAAAAUCUGAGACUUCUCGAUAUACCUGAAUGCCUGAAUCUGACCGCAUUGCCUGAUCAAAUUGGUCAUAUGGUUAGUCUCUAUAGGAUAAACAUGAGAGGAUGUUUGAAGUUGUCUGGAUUGCCAAAGUCAAUUGUAAAGUUGAGGAACUUAAGGAAGGUGGUUUGUGAGGAAGAAAAAGCUGUCCUGUGGGGUCCUCUUAAGAACACUCUCUCUCAAUUGGACAUAACUCUCUUUGAAGAAGAACCCAACUUAGAUUGGCUUGAGUGACCAAGGUAAUGACAUCGAUGGUAUGUGGAAUUUUUAUCAAAUAUUGAAGGUCGUCUUUACACUUUUUCAUAUUGAUGUGGACCGAUCAAUCAUAUUCUUUUCUAAUAUUUUCUUAAGCCACAUUCAUGCUUGCACCUAGAUAAUUUACUUCUCUAUGACUAUUGAGGAUCCUAGGGUCGAAUUGGCCUGGAUUAACAAGAUCGAUUGAUUUUGACUCCUUUAUUUGUAAACUCGAAAAACACUCACGCUUUGUUCACCACGCCAGGUCUUAAGACUCUUAGGGAAGGGUCUUAAUGAGCUAACCACUAAAGUGGCGCAAUGCCAAACGCUAACGGCGCACUUGCUCUCCUAACUCCACGGCAAAGCGAGGCAUCUACUCAUAUGAAUGUGCGUACGUACACAGAGAGAAGGGUUGGAUUGGGGUAAAGUGACUAUGAUGUGGUGGUUUGUUGGGGCCUUCGAUUGCCCAGAGGAGGUCAACACCUUCUCAAUUCCUUAAGGUAUAAAAUGUUUUAACUUUAUCAUAAUUUUCAUAUCCCGUCCAAUCGAAAAAUUAUCUUGCUCUUUAUUUCUUGAAUUUACAUUAUAAAUUAUAUUCAUAGUAUCUGACCUCGUCCAAUAUAUUCGAAAUACACCACCAACCUCCUAAUAGUAGAAUCUGUAUUUUUACCAUCAACAUCGAAUACUCACUUUUAAUUUUAAAGGUCACAUGGUUGGUUAAAAUGCUUUUUAAUUUUCAGUGAGAUCUACUAAGUUUACCAUAAAACCUAUGGAAAUCAUUGUUGAAUUGGAUUGCAGUGCACAAAAAUAAAACAAUCCAUUCAUGAUACGAAGAAGAUUAAACCUUGGCUGUCAUAUUGUUAACUAAACGUCUUGGGCUAACCGUGAUAAAUGGGUCGUUCUAAAAUUACGCAACCUAAUUUCAUUCAUUCUUUUUCAACUUUUCCCUCGCAGGGCAACUUGCGACGAGGUCAACGACUAACGACAUGUCUUCUUCAACGCCUAACGUCAUAUAAUAAAGGAGUACCUCAGGGAGGCCCCCAAUGGCCGCCCCUAGUAGGAAACUUCCCGGAUGAUUACCAACAUAUUCGGCCCGAGAAUAAACUUCCACGACCGCAAGCUACCGCUUUUAUAAAAAGAGUCUCUCUCACCUCUGUUCAUCCCAUUCUCCAUUGUUGCUUCAAAGACCAAAACAUUCCUCUUCCUUCUCGCCUCUGCAGAAAACCCAGAAUAAAAAGCAGGGAAAAGCAUCCUCUCCAAAUCUUUGGACGUGGGUUUCAGUUGUUCGAAGCAUCCUUGCGACCCAUCGAAGUUUUGGAUUUUUUCUUGGAUUGUUUGGUCUGUGAAGAAAGAAAGAACCGGAAAUGUCUGUUGAUUUUGCAGGAGCUGCUGUGGGAACAGCAUUCGGCGAGCUGUACUCGCUUGUUAAGGAGGUAGCAAAAACUGUUGCCGCGUUUCAUCCCCAGCUCAAGAAGAUCGAAUCUACCUUGAGUGAGAUGGACCCGAUCAUAAAGAAAAUCUACUAUCUCUACGAACAGCUGGACCGUCUGAAAGAGAUGGAUCCGAUCAAGGAACUAUUGGAUGAAGGCAAAGGACUAGUCAACAAGUGCUUGAUGAUCCACCCAGUCAAUCUGUACAAGAAGUAUACGCACUCGAAUAAGCUGACUGAGUACAACGCAGCUGUCCGUGAGAAGUUCCAGAUUUAUGUGCCGCUGCUAGCCGCUAGGAACGAUGCAGAGAUGUUGAUGAAGAUGGAAGAGAUCAUGGGAAAACUCAGCUCCAUCUACUCCAGUCAAGCAAACGGUGGGGCCCUCCAGACCAUGCUUGAGGCUCUGAACAACCUUUCAGUCCCUGCGGCGCCCAAUUUCAUUGUCGGGUCAGAGGUGGAGGCGUCCUUGAGCAAGCUCAGGGAGCGUUUGCUCAAGGAGGGAGCGUCCGUGAUUGUUUUGACUGGUCCGGGCGGGUGCGGGAAGACCACUCUGCUUAAAAAAUUGUGCCAUGAUGUAGCAAUUGAAGGUAUGUGAUUAUUAUUUUGAUUGAUCCAGAACUAAAAAAAGUAGGAACGACUCUAUUGUAUUGAUCCUCGCCUGUUGGUCUUUUCCAAUAAUCUUUUGGUUAGCCAUUUAUCUGUAUAGGAGCUAUUGACCGAAUAACAUUCCACCUUUGGAAAUAUUUGAAUGAUUGUAUCCCUUACCUGUUCUCUCUGUCAAGCAUUACAGUUUCUGGUUGAUGUGAAUAUCUGCAUAUAAAGAAUUGCUUGGUGGACGUUUCAUCAAGAAGUCUUUUUUCUUACGUCCAAUCUGAUAGAUCUUUCCCAAGCUUUUAGAUAGCAAGAACUGGCCUCUGUUUGAUUGCGCUGGGCACCUUUCUUAAUUAGCUGAACCCUCCUUUUUACAGCCAUAUGCUUCAGGCUUAUUUUUUCUGCUAUAUGGUAUGUACUUAGCUCUGUUUCUUAUCCCACUGAGGCCAUUAAACGAAAAGCGUCACGGCAAAAUUUAGUACUCUUCGCAAGCAAUGACUUACUGUGGUUUCCAUACAGGCAAAUUUAAGGACAACAUCAUGUUCGUCCCUGUCUCAAAGAAGCCCAACCUGACAGACGUUGUCCAGAAAAUGUAUCGACAUAAUGGUUUCAAGGUACCCGAGAUUAAAUCGGAAGAAGAUGCAGUUCAUUGCUUGCAGCAACUGCUCAACAAAAUAGGACAAAAUCCUGUGUUGCUUGUGCUGGACGAUGUGUGGAAAGAAUCGGAAUCCAUUGUUGACAAAUUUGUCUGCGAUGAUAUCAAAGAUUACAAAAUUGUGGUGACAUCAAGAUAUGAGUUUCCUCGUUUUCGACCUGUGCAUCACCUGAACCCACUGACUCAUGACGAAGCGGUGGAACUUUUUCUUCAAUGUGCUACUGUUGAUGAUAGAAGCAUGGGUACACCAGAUACUAAGCUCUUAAGUGAGGUAUACUCUCGCUUACGUUCAUCAAUUAUUGCUGGUUUUUCCUUUAAGGGUUAUUCUAAUAAAAUCGGACCUGCCUAUCCUUACUUUCAUCUCUCGUUCAUCAAAGAGAGGCCUUGCUUUGUACUAAUCAUGACUAUCAAGUUCUGGUAAUUGCUUCUUUUUGCUUUGUGGCAGAUAGUAGAACACUGUAAGCGAUUGCCAUUGGUUAUUAAAGUCGUUGCCAAGUCUCUUCGGGGACAGCAUUAUGCAUUUUGGAGGAAAAAGCUUAAUGAAUUGAAUGACGGUGGUUCCCUUCUUGAUUCGGAGGUGGAAAUUAAUACUUGCCUCAGAAAGAGCUUGGACGACAUGAAUGGUGACCCUUCAAUCAAGGAACGUUUCAUGGACCUUGGCUCAUUUCCGGAGGAUUGCAAGAUCCCCGUCACUGCCCUUAUUGAUAUGUGGGUGGAAUUGUACAGGCUUGAUCCCAAUGGUUUGCGCGCCUUUACCGACCUCCAUGAACUCGUUUCUAGGAACCUAGCUGAUCUCGUAGUCACCAGGUAUGGCUCUGACGUUCGUUUUGUUCUCUCAUUCCAACUUUUCCAGUUUUCUACUGCUCUAAGAGUAGCUCAUGGAAUUCUAGUUGGCAUCUGGUUAGUUUUUCCUGAUACGUGAUGGUUGUAAUGCAUAUGUGAAAUGGACAAAGGCAUGAUGAGAUCUAUGCACCGAGAUUGAGAAAGUAAUGAAAAAACCCAAUAAGUUUAUUUUUGCUGGUACGAGACAAAAUAUCCUGUUUGCCCAAAAAUGGGCGUUCUAGAUGUUUCGAAUCCACGCCACCUGACCUUCAGCCAUAGUGUGUUCUAGAUAGUAAAGGUCAAAUGAUUUAUACGAAGUCUGUAAAGGACAUUUCUAACUCCUGAUUUAAUUUAUUAAUAGUGGGAAAGAUCAGAUGCCUUCAUUUCCUAUAGAACUGAUAUCAUCAUGUGCCUGGCACUAGAUUUUAGCACAAGAAACCCGAGCACAAAUGCUUAUCCAAGUGUUUUGAUUGCAUACAUACAGGAGAGAUUCAAGUGACGACCACGAAUCUUAUAGCAGCCACUAUUACAAUGGCCACUAUGCUCAACAGCACGAUCUGCUCAGAGAGCUGGUUAUCAUGGAGUGUGACAAGGGGGAAAUAGAGAAGAGAGACAGACUCAUUCUAGAGUUGAAUGGAAAUGAAUUUCCUAACUGGUGGAGUGAGCAAAAGCAACAGCCUCUUAGCGCUCGUCUAGUGUCCAUCUCCACAGGUUAGUAGCUCUCUCUCUCUCUCUUAAAGAUCUAUGGGGAAAAAUUCAACUGGUUAGUUAGCAGUUAGUUACCUUUCUAACCUUUUAUAAUCAUAAUGCAGAUAAAACAUUCUCAACACACUGGCCAUAUCUUGAAUUGCCUAAAGCUGAGGCUCUUGUCUUGAACUUCCAGAACGACAUGCAAUCUAAAACUUAUACUUUGCCUGAAUUCAUUGAGAAGGCAGAUAAACUGAAGGCCCUGAUAGUAACAAAUCACAGUUUCUUUCCGGCUGAACUAUGCAAUUUCCAUGUCGUUGGAGCCAAUUUAAGGAGGAUUAGGUUUCAACGCGUCACAGUUCCUUUCCUAAGCAUGGGAAACCUAUGCUUGCAUAGUCUGAAAAAGAUAUCCUUUUUCAUGUGCUAUAUUAGUCAAACUUCAACGUCGAAUGAUGCUAAAAUCUCUCAUGCAAUGCCGAAUUUAGUGGAGCUCGAUAUUGACUAUUGUGAUAAUCUUGUGGCAUUACCAGAUGGCAUUUGUGAGAUAAAGCCUUUGGAGAAGAUUAACAUCACAAACUGCCAUAAUUUCUCCGCUCUCCCCGCACAAAUUGGGCAACUAACGUCCCUUGAAGUGGUCAGGCUUAAUUCUUGUACAUCCUUGUCACUAUUACCAGACUCAAUUAGAAGCCUCCAGAAUGUGAAACUUCUUGAUAUAUCUGAAUGUCAGAAAUUGAGUGCCUUGCCGUAUCAAAUCGGUCAAAUGGUUAAUCUCGACAGAAUAAACAUGAGGGGAUGUUUGAAGUUGUCUGAGUUGCCAAGAUCGAUCGUGAAGUUGAGGAAGUUAAGGAAGGUGAUUUGUGAGAAAGAAAAAGCCGUCAUGUGGGGGCCUCUUAAGGACACUCUCCCUAGCUUGGCCAUCUCUCUCUUCGAAGAAGAACCCAACUUAGCUUGGCUUGAGUGACCAAGAGGGAGUAAUGACGUCGACGAUGUGUGGCUUCUUAUCAAAUAUGGAAGGUCGUUUUUGAACUUGUCAAUAUUGAUGUGGACCGACAAGUCAUAUUGUCUUUGAUAUUUUCAAGUCAGAAAUUUUUUAUUUUAAUUUUUUCUUCGUCCCAUUUCUUUCUUUCUUCCUCCUCACCAACAACGCUGCUGCAAACCAUAGCCACCUUGUGCCUACCAUUGCUGUCGUUGCCAAUGCCUAACUCGCCGCUCGUGCGCUUCACAUCUGAAGAGAGAAGUGUGCCUACAAUGUCAUAUGAGCAAAGCUUUUGGUGGUGUUCGUGCGUGGCUUUGGUGUGGUGGUAGCUGUCGGAGUGGCGCAACUGCAGAAAAUCGUUGCUGGUUGUGGUAAGGGGUGAUGGGUUCCCAAACGGUUCAGUUCCCCAUCCCAAAAUCGAGAACUGGAUCGGAGGGAGUGGUUCCCCAUUUUUGGAAUUGGGGAUUGGACUAGAGGUGCUUGGAACCGGAUCACAUUGGACCGAUGGUCCGGUUCUCGGUUCUCAGACAGUCCACCGGUCACGUAUGUUUGAAAUGCAAAUUCAAACAUGCAAAAAAAUCAAAUUACUUCCAAAUUUGUGGGAGCAUUGACCAACAAGUUAUACAUUUUAUCUUUGCCAAAAAGCUGAGAAAAGCAUGCUUUAGGUAGCCGCAUGGCUUGGCUUUUAUUUGAAUCCCUCCUACAGUUUUUGUAUGCUCGUUCGACGUGGGACUUUCGGAGCGGCUUCUGUCCGUUGGCUUUUGUUCACAACCAUCAUUUUUUGCUGGGCAAAUAUAGUAAUUUGCUUCGGGAGCUCUUGCAGGUGAGAGGGAGCGAGAGAGACGGGGGGGAGUGCGUGUGCGACACGAAUAGAGAGAGCUUUGAUUAAUUCAACAUCGACUGCUAGCAGAGGCAGUCUACGAAGUUUUUGAUCUCACUUUUAGCAGGAUCUACUAAGUUUACCAUAGAACCUAUCAAAAUCAUGAUAGAAUCAGAUUAUAGUUUAUGCUAAUGAAAUUAUUCAUGCAUGACACGAAUAGAGAGCUUUUGCUGGUCAUUUGAGUGGUUAAAGGUUUUUGAUCUUACUACUAGUGGGAUCUACAAAAUUUACCAUAAAACCUAUCGAAAUCACGAUGGAAUCGGAUUAUAGUGCAUGCUAAUGAAAUUAUCCAUUCAUGAUUCGGAAAAGAAUAAAACUCGGCCGUUACUUGCUUUCCUGAUCGUCUUGUGCUAACCCUGAUAAAUGGGUCGAGCCGGGAACUACCCAAACCUAAAUUCGUACCAUUCUUUUCCAACGUUUUGUCCGCCGGAUCUUCCUCGGGGUUAAUCCAAAGUCGCUGGAUAACAUCGGGCUGGAUGAAAGUUGCCGAUUAGCUCUCUCGACAAAGUCUUUCUCCCGAUGCAACUUGCGACACGGACAUGGUCAACGACUGAGAAAUUUCCAAUGGUCGCUCUUCCUAAGAAACUUCCCAUAUGAUGACUAACUUAUUUGCCCGGAGAAUAAACUUCAACCACUACUUCUAGAAAAAGAAUCUAUCUCGCCUUUCCGUUACAUCUCCCUUCUCCGUUGUUGCUUCAGAGACCCAAAAGCUCCUCUUCCUUCUUGCCUCUGCAGAAGACCCUCGCGACCUAUCAAAGUUUUGGAUUUUCUAGGCUUGUUCGGUCUGUGAAGAAAGAAAGAACAAGUAAUGGUUGAAUGCGCAGGAGCUGCUGUGGAAACAGCAUUCGGUGAGCUGUUCGCGCUUGUUAAGGACGUGGUGAAAACUGUUGCUGCUUUUCGUGGCCUGCUAGAGAAGAUCGAGUUUACUUUGAGCUCCAUAAAACCAGUCAUCAAUCAGAUCGACACAUACAGCAGUAUGCUGGACUGUCCGCAAGAGGUGCACCCAAUCAAGGUUGAACAACAUGCAAAUGCCUUUAUGGAAACAUUGGAGUGUCAUAAGAGCUGGCGGUCUCACAAAUCAAAGAGGAUUGCGUGAUUUUCGAGAUUACAAAUGGGUUACAACAUUUGAUUCACAUGUUUCCCUUGAUUUCCGAGAUAUCACAGAUUCCAGACGCGUUUUGCAGAUUUUAUAAUUAUGUUUUGAUAACUUUCCCUUUUAUUAAUAUAUUUUCCUUUAUUUUGUUAUUAGAUUUCAUUUAUUUGGUUAUUUUCUAAAUGGCGAUCUCCUUAUAAAUAGGCGCCUAAGAUAAUGUAAUAUGCAUUUCUUUAUUCAAAAUAAACAGAGUCUUUUGAAAUUCUUUCUAAGUAUAACUUUCUCUGCCUCGAAGGAGCUCAUGGAGUCGUCAAAUUCCAUGUUAGCGAAUGCCGAGGCCCUCCAGAGCGAGCUUGAGGUUUCGGGUGAUCUUGCGGUCCCUGCGGCGCCCGAUUUCAUGGUCGGGUCAGAGGUGGUGGCGUCCUUGAGCUUGCUCAAGGAGCAGUUGCUCCAGGAGGGAGCGUCCGUGACUGUUGUGACCGCCCCUGGUGGGUGCGGAAAGACCACUUUGCUUAAGAAAUUGUGUCACGAAGCGGCAAUUAAAGGUAUGUGUAAUUAGUAUUUUGAUUGAUUCAGAACUGAAAAAAGUAGGGAUGAAUUUAUUGAAAUGAUCCUCAAUAGUUGAUCUCCUCUAAAAGCCUUUUGAUUAGCCAUUUGAUGAAAGUUAUAAAAAAAAUCUUAAAAUCUAUUAUAUGAAUGUAAAUUCAGUCAUAAAUAUUUUAAUUUUACUAAUUUAAUCCUAAUUUUUUAAUAAAUUGUUAAUAUAAUCCUUCCUAUCAAUUUUAAAUUGAACAUGCUGACAUUGAUACAUGACCGGUGUAGACGUAGAUAAUUUUUAUAUUUUUAAUAUAUUUUUUGAACUUUUUUAUUAUUUUAUUUUAUUUUCCUUUUUAUUUUCCUUUCAUUUCCCUUUUCUUCAUUCUAAGACUGUCAAGGGUUGUAGGGCGACCACAUAGGGUUAGCCGUCGAACCUCGUCAGACUUAAUACGAAAACAAAUGAAAAAGAAAGAAAAAUAAAAAUAAAAAUUAUAAAAACUCAUACAUUUAAAAAAAAAUCAUAGAAAUUAUCUACUUUCAAGCCGACAUGCCAUGUCGGAUGGCUGUCCACGUCGAUGGCAAAUAUGUCAAAAGCCUUAAGAUUCAACUGACAAAAUUGAAUUUGACUUAAUGAAAAAAUUAGCAAAAUGAAAGGUUUAUGACUAAAUAACAUCUAUACAAUAAAUAUGACUUUUUUUGGUAAUUGUCCUGCUGUUUAUGUGUAUAGAAGCCGUUACCUAAAUUAUGUUCCUCUUUUGGACAUAUUUCAAUAAUUGAAUAUCAUGACAUGUUCUCUCUGUCAAGAAAUUCACUUUCUGGUAGAUGUGAAUGUUAGCACAGAGAAUUGCUUGGGUCUUACGCAGAUGGAUGUUUCAUCAGGAAGAAUCUUUUUCUCGUCGUUCCAUUUUGGGUUUGAUAUCAUGUCCAAGCUUUCAGAUAUGCAAUAACUUGGCUCUGUUUCAUUGCGCUGAGCACCAGUUCACAGCCAUAUACUUUAGACUUAGUAUUUCUGCUAUAUGGUAUCUACUUACCUCUGUUUCUUAUCCUACCGAAUUCAUUAAAAGAGAAGUAUCGUACCAAAAUUUCAUAUUCUUGCAAGCGAAAGGAGUCAGACUUACUGCGGUUUCCAUUUAGGCAAAUUUAAGGACAAAAUCAUGUUCGUCCCUGUCUCGAAGAAGCCCAACCUGACAGACAUUGUCCAGAAAAUGUAUCAACAUAAUGGUUUCAAGGUACCCAAGAUUAAAUCAGAAGAGGGUGCAGCUUAUUGCUUGCAACAACUGCUAAAAAAAAUAGGACAAAAUCCUGUGUUGCUUGUGCUGGACGAUGUCUGGAAAGAAUCGGAAUCCAUCGUCGACAAAUUUGUCUGCAAUGAUAUCAAAGAUUACAAAAUUGUGGUGACAUCAAGAUACGAGUUUCCUCAUUUCUGUCCUGUGCAUCACCUGAACCCACUGACUCAUGACGAAGCGGUGGAACUCUUUCGCCGAUGUGUUACUGUUGAUGAUGGAAGCAAAAGGGCACCAGACACUGAGCUCUUGAAUAAGGUAUAUUCUCGCUUGCGUUCAUCAAUUACAGGACUUCAUAUGGUCAUCGAAACUCAGGGUUAUUUUUUUCUUUAAAGAAUAUGUUUAAUAAAAUCAAACCUGCCUAUCCUUACUUGUAUCUCUCUUUCAAAGAGAGGCCUUGCUUAGUACCAUAUCAAGUUCCAAUAAUUGCUCGUCAUUUUUGCCCCUGUGCAGAUGGUUGUACACUGCAAGAGAUUGCCAUUGGUUAUUAGAGUCGUUGCCAAGUCUCUCCGAGGAAAGGAUUAUGCAUUCUGGAAUAAAAAGCUUCAUGAAUUGUCUGAAGGUCAUUCCCUUCUUGAUUUGGAGACCGAGAUUCUAGCUUGCCUCAGAAAGAGCUUGGACGACUUGGAUGGUGACCCUUUGAUCAAGGAACGUUUCAUGGACCUCGGCUCAUUCCCGGAGGAUUGCAAGAUCCCCGCCACUGCCCUUAUUGAUUUGUGGGUGGAAUUGUACAAGCUAGAUUUUGAUGGUGUGCGUGCUGCUACUGACCUCUAUGAACUCGAUUAUAGGAACCUAGCUGAUCUCGUAUUUCCCAGGUAUGGCCCCGAAGUUCAAUUUGUUCUCUCAACCAACUUUUCUAGUUUUCUACUACUGUAAGAUUUCCUCAUCAGAUUCUAGUCGGCAUAUAAUUAAUUUUUUUUUAUAGAUGACAGUUAUAAUGCGUUGAAAUGGACAAAUGCAUGAUAAGAUCUUUGCACCAAAAUUGAUAGAGUAAUUUAUGCCAUUUGAUGACCCGUAGCUAAUCCCAAAACGAUUAGAUUUUUCAUAGCGCCACGAUCUAUUCUGUUCCCAAAAAUGGGCAUCCUAGAUGUUUUAAAUCCACACCACAAUUACUGCGCCUGACUUUCAGCUGUAGUGUGUUCCGCAUUGCAAUGGUCAAAUGGUUUAUACAUAGGCCUCUAAAGAACAUUUCUAACUCCUCACUUAACUUCUUAAGAGUGGGAAAGAUCAAUGUCUUCUUUUUCUAUUAAAUUGAUAUUAUCAAAUGCAUGGCACUAGAAUUUAGCUCAAGAAACUCAAGCGCAAAUGCUUAUAUCCAAUUUUUUGAUUGUAUACAUACAGGAGAGAUUCAAGAGAUGACGCUGACGAAUCUUACCGUAGCCACUAUGUCAUGCAGCAUGAUCUACUUAGAGAGCUGGCCAUCAUGGAAUGCAAUCAAGGGGAAGUAGUGAACAGAGAGAGACUCAUUCUAGACUUGAUGGCAAAUAACUUUCCCAAUUGGUGGAGAGAGCAACAGCAACAGCCUCUCCGUGCUCGUCUAGUAUCCAUCUCCACAGGUUUGUAAUUCUCCCUCUCUCAAAGAUAUGUAGGGAAAAAUUCAUAUGGUUGGUAGUUAGUUACCUUCUAACCUUCUUCAAUCAUAACGCAGAUGGAAAAUUCUCAACAUCUUGGCCAAAUCUCGAAUUGCCUGCAGCAGAGGCUCUUGUCUUGAACUUUAAGACCAACAUGCAAACCAAAACCUAUGCUUUGCCUGAAUUCAUCGCAAAUUCCCCCAAGCUCAAGGCAUUGAUAGUAACAAACUACAGUUUCUUUCCCACUGAGCUGGGCAACUUCCAUGUCAUCGGUUCCAAUUUAAGGAGGAUUAGGUUUGAGCGCGUCACAGUUCCGUUCCUAAACAUGGGAAAGAUAUGCUUGCAGGCUUUAGAAAAGAUAUCCUUUUUCAUGUGCGACAUUGGUCAGGCUUCGACGUCAAAUGAUGCCAAAAUCUUAGAUGCAAUGCCAAACUUAAAGGAGCUCGACAUUGACUAUUGCAACGAUCUCGUGAGAUUACCGGAUGACAUCUGUGAGAUAAAGCCUUUGCAAAAGCUUAGCAUCACAAAUUGCCAUAAUUUCUCUGCUCUCCCUGAACAAAUUG